UAAGACGGAGGAUGCAAGCGUUAUCCGGAAUUAUUGGGCGUAAAGCGUACGUAGGCUGUUUGAUAAGUCUGUUGUCAAAGCCCGAGGCUCAACCUUGGAUCGGCAAUGGAAACUGUUAGACUAGAGAGAGAUAGGGGCAGGAGGAAUUCCAGGUGUAGCGGUGAAAUGCGUAGAUAUCUGGAAGAACACCAGUGGCGAAAGCGUCCUGCUGGAUCUCAACUGACGCUGAAGUACGAAAGCUAGGGGAGCGAAUGGGAUUAGAUACCCCAGUAGUCCUAGCCGUAAACGAUGGACACUAGGUGUUGGCCGUAUCGACCCGGUCAGUGCCGUAGCUAACGCGUUAAGUGUCCCGCCUGGGGAGUACGGUCGCAAGAUUG
rnacentral:rRNA from 1 species